CCUCCUCCCCCGCACUCCCGCCGCCCCGUCUUCUCUUCGUCCCGCCUCGCCCCUCUCUCUCCCUCCAAACCCUACCCCGCGCACGCCUCCCUACCCCGCCGCCAUCUCCUUCGCCGCCGGGAGCUCGCCCGGGAUGACUGCCGCGGGGUUCCUGGUGGGCUUCCUCCUCGGCCUGCUCGCGCUCACGGAGGCCGAGGCGGCCGCGCUGCUCUGGUUCGUGCUCCGCCUCCGCCGCCGGCGAGGCUCCGGUGGACUCGGACGGCUCCUCUCCGUCUCCUCCCUCGCCCCCACGUGUGGUUCCGCUUCCCGCUGGCCACGAGGUGCAGCCUUGCAGGGGCGCAUCGGGCUGGGCCUCUGUUUCCGAUAUGGUGCAGCAGCUGCUGUGGGGUUGAGGUGUUCUGGCAACGGUAGGAGCUCCGGGCCCGUCCAGGUUAACCUCUCUCUCUCUCUCCCUCUCUCUCUCCUGAUUUCGUAGCCCUCAUGUGCUUGCUUGCUUUUUGCUCUGAGUUGUGGCCGUCCAGAUUAGCUAGGGUUCAAGCUUUGGCAGCCUAUAUGGUGGUCACUAUUCUUGUCAUGUGCUUUAACUCUACAACCUAGCUUGGGUUCCCUCAUGUGCUUGCUGGUCUGCCUGUCUAAUUAGGCUUAGGUCUGGUGCUCCAUCUAUGCUGAUUUUCAGAAACUGUUGCCCAGAGAGAUCUCCAUGAAGCAUUGCGCCUGAUGCAGAUGUCAAAGUAUUCAAUCUACUCUGAUGACCACCAGCGGUGUAGUCUUGGUACAUAUACUGCAUCCUGAGAGAUAAAGCAGCAAGGACUAGCAGCAUGGAUGUGAAAUAUGGUCAUGCUCUUAACCUGAUCUCCAGAAAGAUUUCUAUAUCUCCUGAAGCAAGAAAAGUAUUUUGAUGGAGCACAAUUGAUGUAGGUAAGCUUACUUGCGUAAUUCAAAAACCUGAAACUUCUUAACAGUAACUCAAUUAUUACAUAACUCGAUUUUCUUCAUCUUCAACUGUGUUCCGUUUUUGACACUGGUGUUCCGUUUUUCUUAUUCAUGCUUGCAAUAUUUUUAGUUUUUUAUGAUUUUGUAUAGCCAAUGUGCAUACUGUCCAGUGUAGGCAUCUACUACCUUUGCAGUUGCCUCCUCAUUUUCCUUUUAUUACUACAUGUGAUUUUUAUUAGCUGAUCUGUGGCUUGAUUUUCAUUUGUAGAUUCAAACUACUCUCCUGUGAGGAUUUGUUCUGCUAUACAUUUUCCUUUCAUUUCCCAUCCAGGUUGUGUUCAAAUGAUAGGUGGCAUUGCAAAUUAUGACCAGUUUAAAUGUUGUUUAGUGAGCCUCCAUCUGCCAAUUGGAAAUAAACUGAGGGACCUGAAGUUUCAUCUAUUAGGAGAAGCCGGUGCUUGUGCGGGUUGCCGGAUUAAUCAAGAUGGAAGCUGGUGCAAUAAGAGUCCCAUCGGUACCAUUGCCUGUGACCAUGAUGCAGACAUUCACUCUAGGAUUUGAGAUUUUCUUUUCUCAUCCCCUACGAUAGAUUAUAGUUCAAGGAGUGAAUUCAUCCACGUCUACAUAUUUUCAUCUUUUGUUGUGUUUUGGCAUAACCAUUAUCUGAUUUGAGUUUUUGUAAGCGUGCUGAAGUCUUAUUGAUUGUGUUCCUGCAAAUAAACAUGAUCACCAAAUGGGCGUCUUCUGAAAAUUAAGAGAAUUAACUAAUUGUAUAUGCUA